rnacentral:rRNA from 1 species
UACGUAGGGUGCGAGCGUUGUCCGGAAUUAUUGGGCGUAAAGAGCUCGUAGGCGGUUUGUCGCGUCGGCCGUGAAAUCUCCACGCUUAACGUGGAGCGUGCGGUCGAUACGGGCAGACUUGAGUUCGGUAGGGGAGACUGGAAUUCCUGGUGUAGCGGUGAAAUGCGCAGAUAUCAGGAGGAACACCGGUGGCGAAGGCGGGUCUCUGGGCCGAUACUGACACUGAGGCGCGACAGCGUGGGGAGCAAACAGG